UCUUCUCAUGCUCUUCGUCCCUACUCUGUUCUUAGUUACUCUCCUUAUAUCAAAGAAGACAUUUGGCAUUUGUUUUUUAGGGAUUGGCUAGCUUCACUUAGCAUAAUCUGCUCUAAUGCCAUCCAUUUCCCUGCAAAUUCUAUGAUUUUGUCAUUUUUUAAUGCAGAGUAAUACUCCAUUGUGUAUAAAUGCCACAUUUUUUUUUAUCCAUUCGUCUAUUGAAGGGCAUCUAGGUUGGUUCCACAGUCUUGCUAUUGUGAAUUGUGCUGUUAUGAACAUCGAUGUAGCAGUGUCCCUGUAGCAUGCUCUUUUUAGGUCUUUAGGGAAUAGACCGAGAAGGGGAAUAGCUGGGUCAAAUGGUGGUUCCAUUCCCAGCUUUCCAAGAAAUCUCCAUACUGCUUUCCAAAUUGGCUGCACCAAUUUGCAGUCCCACCAGCAAUGUACAAGUGUACCCUUUUCCCCACAUCCUC
rnacentral:lncRNA from 1 species